rnacentral:pre_miRNA from 1 species
AGGCUCCUGUUGGAGAAGCAGGGUACGUGCAGCUUCAACACCGGCCAAGCUCUAGCAACGCAUGCGAGCUAGCUUGGUCAUGGUGAAUUGCACUAUAUAUACGUGUACACUGCACGUGCUCCCCUUCUCCACCAUGGCCUU